UACGUAGGCAGCAAGCGUUGUUCGGAGUUACUGGGCGUAAAGAGUGCGUAGGUGGUGCCCUAAGUCUGUUGUGAAAUCUCCCGGCUUAACUGGGAGGGUGCGGUGGAAACUGGGGUGCUUGAGUGUGGGAGAGGUAAGCGGAAUUCCUGGUGUAGCGGUGAAAUGCGUAGAUAUCAGGAGGAACACCGGUGGUGUAGACGGCUUACUGGACGGUAACUGACGCUGAGACGCGAAAGCGUGGGGAGCAAACAGG
rnacentral:rRNA from 1 species